rnacentral:lncRNA from 1 species
UAGACAUCUUGUCCAAUUUCUGCUAUUAUUUUCUUUUUUUCAACAUCACGUUACCCUCAUUCCAGUCACUCUUUGCCUGCAGCAAAUAAUGCAAGUGCAAUACAAGAUACCAGAUUAUGUCCACAUAUCUACGGAAUGCCAGCAACUUCUUGCCCGUAUCUUUGUUGCCAAUCCAAUGAGGGUAAUGAUUUCAACCUGUAAAUUACAGUCAUGACUUGUCGUGAUACACGUGGGAUAGUGUAAAACUUGGUAAUUUGAAACAUUGAUGCAGUAUUUUUAUGAAUAUUCUCCAGAGAAUCACAAUGAAGGAAAUAAAGAGCCAUCCAUGGUUUUUGAAGAACCUACCACGGGAACUCACGGAGACUGCACAAGGCAUGUACUACAGGAGGGAUAACAGGGUGCCUUCUUACUCAGACCA